GCUAUCUGAAAGCCUUUAAAAUCUUUAUAUCUUUUUCUUAAAACAUACAUAUAUAUAGAUGAAAAAAUAAUAAAAUUCAUGUUUCAUAAUCAUGCUAUUUUCAUAAAAUAUGUUCAUGAAAUCAAUGAUCAUAAUAAAAUAUACUUUUUCAUAUAACAUAUGCUGAUCAUUAUUUUAUGAAAAAUAUGAUUUCAUCAACAAUAAUUCUUUGCAUAAAAAAUAUGAUUAUUUAAAAUAAAUAAGCAGCGUAAGAUCGACUUACCU
rnacentral:lncRNA from 1 species